UUGAAAGGGAAACGAUUGAAGUCAGUCGUACCGGUGGGUAAUCAGUCUUUCGGUGUGAUUAUGUGGAGUGUGAGGAGUUAAACGCCCUUGUGCCUGCAUAUUCGUGCUCUUUGGGUGUACUUGCCCGCAUGGUUGGUUAACAUCAAUUUCGGACGUCAUAAAAUGGUUGGAGGAAUGUAGCUUCGAUCUUGUAUUGAAGUGUUAUAGCCUUCGGUAGAUGUGAUGAUUAGGAUUGAGGAUUGCAACGGAUACCCUUCGGGGCUACCUGCCUGAUCUCUGAAAGUUGCUCUGGUGCUGAAAGCUUGCUUAUGGUA
rnacentral:rRNA from 1 species